AGAAAACAAAGAAACAAUGGAAGCCCCAACCAAUGAUCCAAGAACAGGCAAGGUUGCGGCAGCCACGCUGGAAUCUGGUGCUGAUGCUGUGACGGAAGCAGGAGAGGAGCUAGGACUAGAACCACCGGCGGAAGGGGAAGGAGCAGGUGCACCGGCAGCCAUGACGGCGCUCAUUGAGGCAGCAGCAACAAUGAUGGCGGUGGAGACCUUCUUCAUGUCCAUGGCGUAUAAAGGGAUUAUUAAACGCACCGGAAAUGAACGAGACCUGCGUUUAAUUGCUGGAGAAUGGGGAUCCGCCGGUGAUUGUUAUUAUUUGCUUUGUUAUUGCAGGUCUGAAGAAGAAUGGUGUUGGGGAGGAUUAUUUAUAGGUGAAAAUUCAUGGCUAUUUUUAGUGACGAAAUUUUAAAAAAAAAAUUUACGUGUUUGGUUUUUGCAUGGUUUGCGGGAUAGACAUGCAAAUUUUUGAAUUUGUUUUAGCGAUUUUGACUGGAUUUUAUGGUUAGGGGAUUUUAUUAUUAUUAUUUUUUGGUAAGAGAAAGAGGAGUAGUAAAUUACAGAAUAAUAAUUACCUCAAUCAAUAUCAUUUUGUAAAUUAUUCAGAAUGGAAAUAUCUAUUUGUUGAGGGAUAAAGAUCAAUAAAUUCAUGUUGAUCCAAUUGAUAGUUAAACAUCAUUAUCAAUACAGGAGGAUGUGAGUUCGAGCGGGUUUAUCCUUCUAUUGAAAAGCUUGGAUGAGUUAUGGGUAGUUCUAAGCAUUGUAUCAACUUAUACUUUCACGGUUGAAUUAGAUUAUAAAAAAAAGGUACUAAGUAAGCUCCUGUAUUUAGGGUGUAUUGCAUUUCAGCCCUUUUACUAAAAUAGUGGCUAAAUUAGCCUUUAUGUAUUUCGAAACGUACAAAUUGGAUCAUCCUUUAAAUUUUAUCUAUUAAAUGAUGAUGUGGAACGUUAAAUCUAUGCUGAAAAUUAUUUUUUUAUAGGUAAACUAUAAAAAUGAUCCGUUAACUAUGUCUUUCGUUGUAUUCUAUUUUGGUCACCCACUUAUUAUUUUUUGUUUUGUUCAUAUCAAAUUAAUUAAUUUUUUAUUUCUUGAUUCAACCUAAAACUAUAUGGUUCUACAUUUUAAAAACAUUGAUUAAUAAUGACUAAGAAUUUUUCAUAAAUAAGACAUAUAAAAUAAAUUUUUGAAAAUUUUAUAUUUACAAAGAUGAAAAUCAAUCAAAACAUAGGAAAAAAAAACCCAAUUUCUUGUUUAAAAAAUCCAAUAAAAAUUUUAAAUAUAUAUUUAGAGAAAUAUGUUUUUAUUUAAUUUUAAAUAAUUUUUUUACAGCUUUUGUCUUGUUAGCUAUUAUUAAAUAAUCGAAUCAAUUUACUAUUUAAUCAAUUCAACCAACCAAUCUAAUGAAAUUUGAAGAAUUUGGUUUCUCAAGGUGGAUAUACACUUCAGUUCAAUUACUAUUUAUCAAUUGGGUCCUUAUUGGCUAAAAAUGAAUUUCUUUUAUACAAACAUAUAUUUAAAUUUUUAGAGGUAGGACUAAAUUGAUAGAUUUUAUAAAUAUUGAGGGUCAAAUUUAUUAUUUUUUUAAAAUUAUAAUUAAAAAAAUAAAUUUUGUAAACAUUGAGGACUAAAUUUGUUUAAUUUUUAUAUUUAAGAUCAAAUCGAUAGAAUGUAUAAAUAUUAGAGAGCUAAUUUUAUUACUAGACCAAUAAAAUAAGCCCACAUUUAUCUGAUUACAUACUAAUUAGUUCAAUAAUUCAUUGUUAUUUUCAUGUUAUUCAUUGUUUUGAAUAAAUGGAAAAGUAAAAGCAUAAACACAACAUACUUUCCAAAGCUCCAUUUCAAUUUUUUUCAUUAUUCAUCACAUGUUUCUUUCAAACAAUAAAAAAUAUAAUAUAAAAUAUAAUAUUCGUUCACAUGUUGAUUUUUCAUACAUGUAGCAUGUAAGAAAACAAAGAAACAAUGGAAGCCCCAACCAAUGAUCCAAGAACUGGCAAGGCUGUGGCAGCCACGCUGGAGUCUGGUCCUGAUGCUGGGGCAGAACCGGGAGAGGAGCUAGGAAUAGAACCACCGGCGGAAGGGGAGGGAGCAGGUGCAUCGGCAGCCAUGACGGCGCUAAUUGAGGCGGCAGCAACAAUGAUGGCGGUGGAGACCUUCUUCAUGUCCAUGGCGUAUAAAGGGAUUAAUAUUAAACGCACCAGAAAUGAACGAGACCUGCGUUUAAUUGCUGGAGAAUGGGGAUCCGCCGGUGAUUGUUAUUAUUUGCUUUGUUAUUGCAGGUCUGAAGAACAAUGAUGUUGGGGAGGAUCUUUUAUAGGUGAAAAUUCAUGGCUAUUUUUAGUGAUGAAUUUUUUUUUUAAAAUUACGUGUUUGGUUUUUGCAUGAUUUGCGGGAUAGACAUGCAAAUUUUUUAAUAUUUUUUAACGAUUUUUAGAUAAUGAGAUUUUAAAUUUUAAGAUUAAAUGAUAAUGAAUUUUUAUUUAAAUUUAAUUAAAUUAUUUGAAUAUGUUUUUUUCAUUAUUAUUUUUAAAAUUAUAAAUUUGAUUUCGACGGAUAUGAUUCUUUUACGAAACCUUAAUGGUAAAGUAAAGUGAGAGAUUCUAAAAAUUUAUAUGUAAAUAAUAUAUAAUAAGAUGUACAAUGAUAAAUGGUUGGAUGGUAAGUUUUUAUUGGGAUGAAUAUAAGACUAUGAAGGUAAAAUUAUUAGUUUAAGUUUCCGUAUUUGGGGAAGAUUGCAUUUUGGUCUUUUUAUUAAAAAAUGAGUAUAUUAGUCUUUAUAUAUUUCGAAAUGUACAAAUUAGCUCAUUAUGUUGAAAAUUAUCUUUUACGGGUAUAUAAAAAUUGUCACCCAAUCAUGUCUAUUGUUCUAUUUUGGUUACCCAACUAAAAAUUCAUUUGGAUUUAAGUUUACCUUGAACGUGGCACGAUUUGGCACUUUAUUGCCCAAUCAUGCUCAACUCAAUCACUUGGAUGCAUAAAUGGGAUUCAACUUCAUUGCACAGAGGCUUUACUUUUUCAUUGGAGGAUUACAACCCCACCAACUUUUUCUUUCCUUUUGUAUCUAAACCUAAUUAUGGGUCGAGUCACCUGGCUCGAAGACCCACUCGAAAAGUGAAAGGAUUUGUGCAAAAAUAUAGGCUCGAAAAAUGAGUUUAGGCAAAAAAAAAUAGGCCUGAUUUCUAAACGAGUCAGGCAUUGGGUAAACUUUUUUUGGCCUGGUCGAAUUUGUAAAAAAAACCUACUGCUUUUUGCUGCUAUUUUCACUGUUUUUGUUGUUGUUUUGCCACUAUUUUUGUGGCGUUUUGCUAUUAUAUUGCUAUUAUUUUGUUGUUAUUAAUUGAAUAUUGUAUAACUCUUAUUUUAUUGUAUUUGAUGUAUUAUUCUUUUUGAAUUUAUUUUUAUAUAAAAAUAAUAAUAUAAAAAAUUUUAAUACAGACAGCCCGCGCCAGACUCGGGUUUUAGCAUUUUUAUUCAGGUCAAAUUUGGGCAAAAUUUGCCCAGUUUUCAGGUCGGGUUGAAUCCAAGCACAUACUCAAUUGUUAUUUUUAACCUCAUCGGAACUAAACAAACUAAACCUUGUCAGAUACAUAAAUCAUACAGGGUUAGCAAGGCCUCGGCCUCCCCUAAAAUGAAAACUUUUUUAUUUAGGCCCCUUUGUAAUUUAUAAAAUUUUAAAUUAACAAUAAUAAAAUAGUGAAAUUACAGUUUUACUAUCAUAAAAAUAUAAAACAAUUUUAUUUGUUGGUCUAAAAUUUUAUACAUAUUAGAAUUACAAAAGGAUGAAAUUGUUACAUGCUGGUUAUUAGUUCAAUAAUUUAAUGUUAUUUUCAUGUUUAAAACUUAAAAAGUUAAUUCAACUACUUUAAUUUAUCGUAAUUUUAAUUUCGGAAAUCAAAACGUAAAACAUAAACACAAAAUAUUAUUCAAAGCUCCAUUUUAUUCAAUUUUAUUCAAUAUUCAUCACAUGUUUCUUUCAAAAAAAAAUAAAAUAAUAUAUUCGUUGACAUGUUCAGUUUUGAUACAUGUAGCUUACUGCAGCAUGUAAGAAAACAAAGAAACAAUGGAAGCCCCAACCAAUGAUCCAAGAACUGGCAAGGCUGCGGCAGCCACGCUGGAAUCCGGUCCUGAUGCUGGGGUGGAACCAGGAGAGGAGCUAGGACUCGAACCACCGGCGGAAGGGGCAGGAGAUGGUGCACCAGCGGCCAUGACGGCGCUCAUUGAGGCAGCGGCAACAAUGAUGGCGGUGGAGAUCUUCUUCAUGUCCAUGGCGUUAUAAAAAAGGGAUUAUUAAACGCACCGGAAAUGAAUGAGACCUGCGUUUAAUUACUAGAGAAUGGGGAUCCGCCGGUGAUUGUUAUUAUUUGCUCUGUUAUUGCAGGUCUGAAGAAGAAUGAUGUUGGGGAGGAUCAUUUAUGGUGAAAAUUCAUGGCUAUUUUUAGUGACGAAAUUAAAAAAAAAGAAAAAAAGAAAUACGUGUUUGGUUUUCGCAUGGUUUGCGGGAUAGACAUGCAAAAUUUUGAAUUUUCUUUAACGAUUUUGACUGGAUUUUUAGGCUAGGGAAUUUAAUUUUUUAAGAGAGAAGAGUACUAAAUUAGAGAAAAAUAAUUAAAUCAAUAUCAUCUUGUAAAUUAUUCAGAAUGGAAGUAUCAAUUUGUUGGGGAGAAGAAGUAAAUUCAUGGAGACUCAAUUGAUAGUCAAACAUCAUACCAACUAAGGCAUUAGUCGCUCCAUUAGAUUCCUUAUAAAUAUGCUCGAUUCAAACACCUAUGUUCGAGCGUAAAGCUCUUUUAUUCUGCAUACCAGUGCCUUGUUCAAUACGCCUUUAUAUUCAUCAUUGAUUGCUUGAAUUGCAAUUAAACAAUCACAUUCCAAAACAACAAGUUUUCACCCUUCAAACCAAAUCAGUUUAAGUCCACUAUAGAUUGCCCAAAGUUCUGCUUGUUCAAUACUACAUUUCUCAAUAUUGUGACCGUAGCCAAAUAUCCAUCUGCCAUGGUUGUCUCUAACAAUCCCAACUGAGCAGGCAAGUCCAGUAUGAGGUUUCCUUACACCGUCUGUGUUCAUUUUGACACAACUAGCUAUUAGUGAGUGCCAGGUGCUUGGUCUGAUUCGGUUUUUAACCUUAAUCUUUGGUUCCCUAUUAUGUUUAACAUUCACAACCCAACUCCAAGCCAAUCCUACAACCAUACCAGAAUUACGAGGAACAUUUUCAAAAACAAAAGAAUUCCUUUGUUUCCAUACAAACCGACAUAGGAUACCGAAUAGGGUGUUCCAAUUAACAUCUUUGAAUUGUAAAUUCGGUUCAUUAGAAAGAUUGACAUUCACUCAAGAUAAAAGUGACGGAGAUAAGAACCUGGAGUAGAAUGAAUCCAGAAUGAACUGCUUCCAUACUUCUUGAGCUUAGAAUAUUUUCUUCUGCAGAUCCAAAAUGCAGCAACUAGUGUCAUCCGUCAGUCUGCGUCUGCAUCUUUCCACGUUUGAGAGGAGUCGCUUGUUGUUCCAAUAGGGUCGGAAGCGUGUAAAUUAUUGUACUAAAAAAUCACACAAAGUUCAAUUCCCAGGGAAGAGAGGUGGAUCACAAGGAUCUCUUAAAUACCAAGUCUUUCCUUAGUCAGAAUAUUCCUUCUAACGUAAUUUAAUAGCACAAUUAAAUACUACUAUUAUACCCUCAAAUAUUGAAAGAAAAAUAGGACAAAAAGAACACAAGAGUUUUAACGAGGUUCGGUAAAUUAUACCUACGUCCUCGGGCACUAACACCAGAUGAUAACUUUACUAUCUCCAAAAUAUUACAAACAAAUAGAAUUCCUUAAGAAUUCUCAAAUGGGAGAAGAGAGAAAACUAAGAGAGAAAGAUUGGUUGGGAUGGUUGAAAUGAGAAAUGGUUAGGCCUAUUUAUAGUUGAAGUUCAGGGACUAACUUGCAAAUGACCUAAAAAAUUAGGGACCAAAAUUGCAAUUAUCCCUUUCAACUUUAAACAACUUGCCAACUAUUUUUUUUCUUUCGGUGCCAAUUGCACCUCCCACCAUUUUUGACUUUUCAACCCCUUUUUAAUUUAACUUAUCAACAAUCUCCACCUUGAAGAUUUGAUUAGGAUAAUCACAUCUUCACACACUUCCUUCAACUCCCCAAAUUUGAUAAAGCUAUCUUUUGUAGUGCCUCCAAAUGCGCUCUCGAGCGCCAUACACCUAAAGGUGCUCAAAUUCUCAGGAUGUUAAUCAAGUUCAAACAAUGAUUAAACUUGAUUGUUGUUACCACCUUGGUCAUCAUAUCUGCGGGAUUAUCUGUUGUCGGAAUCUUCUCAAGUAGAAUUUUUCCUUUUUCAAAGACUUCCCACACAAAGUGAUAUCUUACGUCGAUAUGCUUGGUUCUUGAAUGAUAGACUUGAUUUUUCGCUAAAUGAAUAGCGCUUUGACUGUCACAAUAUAGACUAAUGUGACUUUGAACAACUCCCAAGUCUUUCAAUAAUCCAUUAAGCCAAAUAGCCUCCUUAACAGCUUCUGUAACUGCCAUAUAUUCUGCCUCUGUAGUAGACACAGCUACUGUAGACUGUAAGGUAGACUUCCAACUCACUGGGGCUUUCGCAAGAGUAAACAGAUACCCCGUAGUUGAACGACGUUUAUCUAAAUCACCAGCAAAGUCGAAAUCAACAUAUCCAACUACAAACUGACCAAGUGCUUUAUCUUGUUCAAAAAUUAAACCAACAUCUACGGUUUUUCGAAGAUACCGUAGAAUCUAUUUCACAGCUUGCCAAUGUCCUUUUCCAGGAUCAUGCAUAUACCUGCUCACAACUCCAACAGCUUGUGAAAUGUCAGGCCUCGUACACACCAUCGCAUACAUCAAACUCCCAACUGCAUUAGCAUAUGGGACUUUCGCCAUAUAUUCUCUUUCAUCUUCAGUCUUCGGAGAUAAUUGAGCACUAAGUUUCAAAUGAGAAGCAAGUGGGGUACUUACAUGUUUUGUGUUUUCAUUUACACCAAAACAUUGUAAUACCUUUUUCAGAUAUUGCUUCUGAUUUAAACAGAGCUUGCCUCUCGGUCUAUCUCUACUUAUCUCCAUGCCGAGAAUCUUCUUGGCCUCACCUAGAUCUUUCAUCUCGAACUCUUGAUUCAACUGAGCCUUCAGCUUAUCUAUCUCAUUUUGGCUCUUCGAAGCGAUUAACAUAUCAUCAACAUACAAGAGUAGAUAAAUGAAAGAUCCGCCAUGCAGCUUCUGCAAAUACACACAAUUGUCAUAUUUGCUUCUUGUGUACUCCUGCCUUCUCAUAAAGCUAUCAAAUCGCUUGUACCACUGCCUCGGGGAUUGCUUCAAUCCAUAUAGCGAUUUGUUAAGCUUACAAACCCAAUUUCUACCACCAGCAUCUGUGUAUCCUUCUGGCUGAGUCAUAUAGAUCUCCUCUUCUAACUCACCAUGCAAGAAAGCCGUCUUAACAUCAAGUUGAGCUAGCUCCAAAUUCAACUGUGCUACCAAGGCCAACAAAAUUCUAAUGGAGGAAUGCUUCACAACAGGGGAAAAUACAUCAUUGUAGUCAAUUCCCUCCUUCUGAGCGUAGCCUUUAGCUACCAAUCUUGCCUUGUAGCGAAUAUCCUUCUUGCUAGGAGAUCCAUCUUUCUUUGCGAAUACCCACUUGUAUCCGAUUGCCCUUUUACCUUUCGGUAAUUGCGCCAACUCCCAAGUAUUAUUCUUCCGGAGAGACUGCAUUUCUUCAUCCAUGGCGCUUUUCCAUUUAUCACUUUCUAAGCUUUGCAUUGCUUCUUGAUAAGUGAUAGGAAUAUCAUCAACAACGGGAAGGGCGUAGGCCACCAUAUCAGUAAAUCGAGCAGGUUUACGAAUUUCUCUCCGUGGCCUUGCAACUGCAACUGGUUCUGGUGUACUUAGUGGUUCUUGGGUCAGAACCUCUUCAACCUCUAAUUCCUCCAUUGUGGCUGGAGAAUUAGACUUAUUAACUGGGCAAAUCCCCAUCUGCUCAAACUCCACCUGUUUUGGAGUACACUCCACCUGCUGUGGAGUAUUGCUCGUCUGAAUAUCUUUAUCUGCUACCUUUUUCAAUGUGGCAGAUUCAUCAAAGGUAACAUCUCUGCUACAGAUCAUUUUCUUUGUGCUUAAGCACCAAAGACGAAAUCCCUUCACUCCAGAAGUGAUUCCCAUAAAGAGAGCUUUCUUUGCCCUCGGAUCUAACUUUGACUCCUUCACAUGGUAAUAUGCAGUGGUUCCAAACACAUGUAAGGAAUCAUAAUCUGUAGCCGGUUUUCCAGACCAUACCUCCAUAGGAGUUUUUCUUUCUAAUGCAGAUGAUGGCAAACGAUUAACAAGAUGGCCAGCGUAUGUCACAGCCUCAGCCCAAAAUUGCUUGCCCAACCCAGCAUUGGACAACAUACAUCGAACUUUCUCCAGCAAUGUUCGAUUCAUACGCUCUGCCAAUCCAUUCUGCUGUGGUGUAUCCCUAACUGUGAAGUGUCGAAUAAUACCAUACUCUUGGCACACAUCGAAGAACGGAUCACUUUUAUAUUCCCCUCCAUUGUCCGUCCUAAGCCGCUUGAUUUUCUUGCCAGUCUGGUUUUCGAUCAUAGUUUUCCAUUUAAGAAAAACUCCAAGCACUUCAUCUUUAGUUUUCAUGGUAUACACCCAAACUCUUCUGGAAAAGUCAUCAACAAAAGUAACAAAGUAGUGUUUUCCUCCCAAUGAAGGUGUUUUGGAAGGCCCCCACACAUCUGAGUGAAUAUAUUCCAAAAUACCUUUUGUAUUAUGGAUAGCAGUGCCGAAUUUCACUCUCUUUUGCUUUCCCAGAACACAGUGCUCACAAAAUUUUAAUUUGUAAGCCUUUGCACCUUUCAACAAUCCUUGCUUUGCCAGAAUUUGCAAGGAUUUUUCGCUGGCAUGUCCCAACUUCAUAUGCCACAACUGCAUUGAGUCCAAGUCUUUGUUACCGGAAGCUGCAGCGACUGCUCCAAUAACUGUACUACCUUGGUAGUAAUACAAGUUAUUUUUCCUGAUGCCCUUCAAUAUCACAAGUGCGCCAGAUGUCACUUUCAAAACCCCAUCUCUCAUAGUAACAACUGAACCAUUGGAUUCCAAGGCUCCCAAUGAGAUGAGAUUUUUCUUCAAACUGGGCACGUACCGAACAUCAGUCAGAACUCUGGUUGAUCCAUCUUUAUUCUUUAAUUGGAUUGAACCUAUCCCAACAGUUUUACAGGCAUUGUCAUUGCCCAUAUAAACAACUCCUCCAUUUAGUUCUACUAAAUCAGAGAACCACUCCCGGUUAGGGGACAUAUGAUAGGUACAACCCGAAUCUAAUAUCCACUCAUCUGAAUGGAACGACGAUGAUGAUGCAACCAGUGAUAGUUCAGAGUCACUAGUAUCAUGCUUAGCAACACAAGCAUCUACAGCAGCUUUUCCCUUAUUCUUCAGCUUUGGACAAUUUUUCUUCCAGUGGCCUUUCUCAUGACAAAAAGCACAUUCAUCUUUCCCGAGUCUGGACUUUGACUUUGAUCUCCCCUUUUGAGUUUUCUUCCGAGUGUAUGAACGACCUCGGACUAGUAAAGCUUCUGUAUCUCUGAUUGAGUUUUUCUGUUUGUCCUUCUUUCUCUGUUCAUAACUGUAUAAGGCCGCACAGACUUCGCUCAGAGAUAUAUCACUCCUGCCAUGAAGUAGAGUAGUUUCUAGGAACUCAAACUCCUCAGGAAGUGACCCCAACAGCAUCAAAGCCAAAUCUUCAUCUUUGAAUGUCUCAUCCAUAUUCAGCAAAUCAGUGACUAACUGAUUAAAUUUGGUGAUGUGAUCAUUCAUUGUGGUACUUGGGACGUAUGUGAAGCAAAACAGUCUUUUCUUCAAGUGGAGCUUAUUUUGACUGUUUUUCUUCAAAAAUUUUUCUUCAAGUGCCACCCACAACUUAUUUGCAGAAGUCUCCUUUGAAAAAGCAUACCUCUGCUCUCGAGAAAGGCAUGAUCGAAUUGUGCCACAUGCCAACCGAUUGAUCGCCUUCCAAUCUUUCUCCUGUACAUCAUCUGGUUUCUCUUCAUCAAUGGCAAUGUCUAGACCCUGCUGAAAAAGGGCAUCUAGAACCUCACUUUGCCACAUACCAAAAUGGCCCGUGCCAUCAAAGAUCUCCACGGCCAAUCUUGCAUUUGCAAUUGUCGGUCUUGUCCACAUGGACGAUGUUGAAGCUCCUACACCGACCGUUUUCUCCAUAAUCUUUCAAUAUACCUAAGGAAAUCUUUUCUGAUGUGGAAGAUCAGUUUAAACUGCAACCACAGAGCAUACUACGAUUAACCUUCGGCUCUGAUACCACUUGUUGUUCCAAUAGGGUCGGAAGCGUGUAAAUUAUUGUACUAAAAAAUCACACAAAGUUCAAUUCCCAGGGAAGAGAGGUGGAUCACAAGGAUCUCUUAAAUACCAAGUCUUUCCUUAGUCAGAAUAUUCCUUCUAACGUAAUUUAAUAGCACAAUUAAAUACUACUAUUAUACCCUCAAAUAUUGAAAGAAAAAUAGGACAAAAAGAACACAAGAGUUUUAACGAGGUUCGGUAAAUUAUACCUACGUCCUCGGGCACUAACACCAGAUGAUAACUUUACUAUCUCCAAAAUAUUACAAACAAAUAGAAUUCCUUAAGAAUUCUCAAAUGGGAGAAGAGAGAAAACUAAGAGAGAAAGAUUGGUUGGGAUGGUUGAAAUGAGAAAUGGUUAGGCCUAUUUAUAGUUGAAGUUCAGGGACUAACUUGCAAAUGGCCUAAAAAAUUAGGGACCAAAAUUGCAAUUAUCCCUUUCAACUUUAAACAACUUGCCAACUAUUUUUUUUCUUUCGGUGCCAAUUGCACCUCCCACCAUUUUUGACUUUUCAACCCCUUUUUAAUUUAACUUAUCAACAUCGCUCUUAUAAAAUUAGCCAUAAAAAUUGUCGAACACAUUGCGAACCACCAUAGGACCAAGAAAGUUCCCAUUUAUUGUCCGAACUAUUCCAGGAAUCAUGAGAUAAGAAAGUAUAGGCUAUUUUAACAGUUAAGUCUCCAUUCAUAGACCAUUUAGAUACUAAUGAAUUCGAUCCAGCAAGUGCACGAGGGGGUAGAACACCAGCUUUUUUGUCAAAAAAAGGUUCGUCCAAAUGAUUUCUAAUAUACCUCCAAUUCCAUUCACCGUCAUUUCUAACCAAAUCUUAGAGGAUGGGAUUAUCAUCUCGAGCCAUAUUAUUCGGAUCAUGAAGUAUCAAAGGACCUACCUCAGGAAUCCAAUCAUCAACCCAAAAUUUGACUGAAUUCCCAUCUCCUAUGGACCAACAGAGGCUAUCUCGUAAGAGAGGUCAAACUUUUGCAAUGGACUUCCAUACAAAAGAGCUUAUGUUGCACGUAAUUACCAAUGGACAUACCUCCUGAAAUUUGUAUUUAUCUCUUAUCACUUGAACCCAUAAAGCAUUCUUGUUAGUACUGAAAUUAAAGCCCAACUUUAAGAGGAAAGACUCAUUUUACUGCCUUAAAUGUCAAAGACCCAGUCCUCCAUUAGCCCGAGGUUGGUAAUAGUUAUCCCAUUGCACUAAUGUUGGUUUAGAUCUUAAGGAAGAACUCCCCCAAAUAAAACUCAUUGAAAUACUAGGUAUCAAAGUUGUUUUGUAACAACCUAUUUUCAAUGGUACAAAAAAUGAUAGUUUUAAAAUUCCAUUUUCUGAGGACUAAGUCAGCAAAUAUUAUUUAAUAAUAUUUAUGAAUGGUUUAUAUUAUUAUAAUGGUUAUUAGUUCAGAAAUUUUAUUGAUUGAUUAGUAAUUAGUAUAGAGACUAAAUGUAAAAACUGUAAAAGUUGAAUUUAAGUGGAUUGUUUAAUUAGUUGAGUAUGAUUUAAUUAUUGGAGGAUUUGUUUGACAAUAAGCCAAUUUUGGACAUAAUGGCUUGCCAUGGAAUUAGUUUAGUUGAAAUUUUAUAUUGAUUUUUAGUUAAAAAACAUAAAAAUUAAAAGGUUUAAAAUAAUAAAACAUGGAAAGUGCCAUCAUCUUCCUCAUUUUUCUUAUUCUCCUACGAAAACAACAUUUUUGGAGCUAGGAGAGUUCAGCCAUUUCACAACCUUCCAUGUAGGUAUAUUUGAGCUUGGUUUUUUGUAAAUUUUAUAUUUUUGUAAUCGUUGUAACUUAAAUCUAGCUAUAUUGUACCUCCGUUUUUAAAACUGUUAAAGAUUUUAAAUGCCACCAUUAGAGAUAAUUGAAGCUUUUGGUUGUUAAAAUGGUGCUUUAAAAACUUAGGAAUGGAAAAAUGAUUAAAUUGUGAAGCUAAUUGUUAGUUUUGAGUUUAGGGACUAAAUUAUGAAUAAAUUGAAAUUGUUAUAUUUUUUUGUAAAUUGUGGUAAUAGGAGGCUGUAUAGGGACAUAUUUGAAGUGGGUUUAAAUUUUGGAGUUUAAAUUCGGAAGAUAUGAUAAGUUUGGUUUUAGGGACUAAAUUGAUUAAAAUGAAAAACUUUAGGGGAAUUUGGAUAAUAAAAUUGAGCUGAUUUAUGCUUAUAAUAGGGUGAAAUAAGAGGAUUGAAAUUGAUAAAUUGAAUUGAACAAUUGUAUAGCUAAAAAAUUAGACCAAAUCAGAAGUAAUCGUGGAAAAAAAGGCAAAAUUAUUGAUUAGUCCUUAGAGACUUGACCGUUUUCUAUUUGUCCAGAUAAGUUCAUAUGGUAGGAUUAUACUUAAUUUUCUAUAUAUUUGAAUUAUGAUUUUGAGUAUCUUGAUAGUAAAUUAAAUUGUUUGCAAUUUGGUGCAAAGAGGUGAGGUAUGAACUAAAUCGUAAGGAAUUGAACAAUUAAUUGAAAAUUGAAAUAAUUAAGGAAAUAACCUUAAAUUGGACUGAAAUAGGAUAUAUUAUGUGAUAAAGUGAUUAUUUGAGGAAAUGAGCUAAAAUGAUUCGAUUUAGAUCGGUUGAAAGUGAUAAUGACGGAAUUGAAUAUAUGUGAAAAUAUUAUAUAAUUUUAUAAAUGUGAAAUUGAAUCAGUAUUGUUAUGUGUUAUGCUAUCAUAUUUGAGAAUUGAUGAUCGGUUAAUGAAAUUAUGUAAUGAAAUUGAGAAAUUGUUAUUCUUAUUAAUUGUUUGGGUAGAGUCAGAUAUAGUUGGAGUGUCGAUGAGGCACUGGGUGCCAAACUACUUCAGUUAUACCGAUGAGGCACUGGGUGUCAAACACAUUGAUGAGCACUGGGUACAAACUAUUUACUUUGACAUUGUCUGAUAAGGCACUAGGUGUCAAAUUGGUAUGAUAGGUGGGAUUCAUAUAUCCGUUCAAGUCUGAGUUAGAUUAAUAGGGGUAUAAAAAGAAAUUUUGAUAAAUGAUAUUUAAAUUGGGUUGAUAUAAUGAUUUGAUGAUUUGUAUACAUAAUGCGAUCUAUAAAUAUCGAUGGUAUGUGAAAAAUUAUACGAAACAGUUAUAUAAACCUAGAAGGCCGAUAUAGAAAUGUAAUAAAUCAAAGAAUUCGGUUCGAAAUUCAAAAUAAGGAAAUGAAAUGGUAAUUGACAUUAGAUUGAAAUUGAAUGUAUAAUAGAUAAAUAGAUGGAAUGAUCUGAUAUUAUAAGAAUGAUGUUCAUAUGGUUAAAUGUUGAUUUGGUUUUUAGUAUGGUAUUGAAAUGUGAUUCUAAGUGAUUUGGUUUAUUUCAUAUUGAAAUGUUAUAUGAUGAGGUUAAAUGUUAACUCACCUUUUUUAUUUUUGAUUUGUCAUGUUACUAAGCAUUGUAUAUGUUUACCUCUUUUAUUUUCCCUUUCCUUGUAGAUUGUCAAUUUGUAGAACACAUCAAGCGAAUCAUCCAAAGCUCACAUUAUCCUGGUAUGUGUUCAGUAGUCUUUAGACCGCAUUAAGGCCCGAUUAUGUAAGGCAUGUACUUAGGACUCGUUUUGGUUUACUUGCAAAGUGAUAUGGCUUGAAAUCUAUGUUGAUAGAAUUAUGACAAAGAUAAUGCUUAAUGGAAAACAUAUGCAUUAGUAAAUGGAUUGAAUUGUGCAUUUGACAUUUGAAAUGGCAUUUGGGUAUGCGAUUACAUAGGUAAUAUAAUGUUAUGAAAUGGUUAAAAGGCUUGGCUGAUUAGGUUGAGUUUAUUUAAGCUAAUUUGAUAUGUUAUGAUGCCAAAUUGUGGAAAUAUUGAAUUAGUUUAUUUGAAAUGGUGAUAUAUGAUGUUUUGACAAUGGUAUGAAUUAUGUGUUUAUAAUAUGUUGUGAUGUUUUUAGUGGUUAAUGAGUAAGAGAUAACAUGAUAGGUUAUUAAAGAGUAUUGAAUGAUUUUGAUACCUUGUGUGAAAAUCAUGAUGGCAGUUACAUGAUGAUGAAUAAAUAGGUCUAGUAGGUGACUUAAUUUGAAGGAUGAGUAGUAAUGGAUUGUUAUAGUUGCAUGAUAAUUGAAUUUGCACUAGUAAAAUGGAAUAAGCCUAGAUUUUGUCUAGUUGAUUUGGUUAGUAUAUGUUUUAAUGUUAGAAUAGGGAAUGAGUUGGAUGUAAUGGACCAUGAUUGGAAUAGUGUAACAUUCAUUCACUUUUGGUUGAUGUUACGUCCAUGAUGUAGUACCCUUGAUGUUUGUGGUUAAAUUAGUAUAUUUAAUUUUAAUUUUUUAUGUUAUAUGACAGAUUUUGGAGUGCUUAUUGAUACUAGCAUAGGCAUUUUUAAAAGUGGUAUUUGACAAUUCUGUGCAAAAGUACUUAUACUCUGGUAUUAAUUAUCGAUACUUGAUCAUAUGAACAAUUUUCUUAAAACAAAUAGUUUUAUUAUUCGGUAUCAAUACCAAAUAAAGUAUCGACACCAAGCAAUUAAGUAUGGAUACUAACUCUAAUAUUUUGAAAAUUUACAAUUCAACCCUAUUCAUGCUCAAACUUUACAAUUAAACCAUUGUAUGUUCUAAUUAUGGGAAUUGGAACGCAUUCGUAUUUGUAAUUGUAUGUUUUGAAUUUUUAUACAAAUUAUUUAUCGACAGUUGCCUAUCAAUGAAUGUGACAUCACGUUAUUCGGAUUUGACAUAAUAGGGUGUUACAUGUUUGCAUAAAAUAAUUGGGGAUUGACAUAAGAAUAGAUUGUACCAAAGUAACACGACCCGCCAUCGAAAUAAGUUUAGCGUCCCAACUAUCAAGUAAUCUAUAGACCCUAUCAAGGACAAACUUAAAGGUACUAAUAGUGAUACACUGUGAAAGGCGAUAUUAGCAGGAGUAUUCUUUGAAAAGAAAAACAUUGGUCUUUUGGGCAUUAACUUUGUGAUCCGAGAAAAGUCAAAAAGUUCUAAAUUAUUUUAACAACUUUUACUUGUUCUAUAUCAGCUUCAAUAAACAGGAACAAACCAUCCGCCUCUAGGGCAUGCUUGCAAUAAAAAGAUUAGUUUCCAAACCCUCUCUCCAACCAAUUUAUGAAUAUAUUGUCCCAAUCUUUCCAUACAUAGAAUAAAUAAAUAUGGAGAUAAAUGGCACCCCUACCUAAUACCUCUCAAAGGUUGGAACUCAUCCGAUAAAACACCACUCCACAGAGUUUGCAUACAAUCUGAAGAAAUGCGUUCCAUAAUAAUUUGAGAUAUUCCAUGAGGAAUGAAACGUAGUUGGUGCUAGACCAAGAGUGUUAAAAUGCAUGACGAGAGAAUCCCGCAAUUUAAAAAUGUUUCAAGAGAUGGGUGGGCAUUGGGCUCCACCUCUUGGAUCAAACUUAAUAUAGAUGGUGGCAUGGUGCUUUAAAGACAUGGGUUGGUCUUGCUUCAGUAGGAGGUGUUGUAUGUAAUUGUAGAGGCGAAUGGAUGCUAGGAUAUUGCAUAAGCCUUGGGUAGUUUAAUGUCCUUGAUGUGGAGCUUUGAUGUCUUUUUGAUGGCUUACAGUUAAUGUGAGAAAGGGGUUCGAAAAUGUACUAGUUGAAUGUGGUAGCUUGGAAGCGAUCUCGGUUAUAUUGAGCAGUAAGUCUAAAUCUUGUGGAUCGACUCUAGUGUGACAAAUACGCAAAUUGGUGGAACAUUGGGUGGUACCACCAGAAAACUUGUGGUGCAAGAAACAAAAUAAAGUAAAAUAAGAGAUUUGAGAUGUGAAUUACUUUCUUUAAAGUUUAAUUUUACCUCUAGAAUACAAAAUUUAGGAGUAACAUAAUUUGAGUUUUUAUGUAGGCACAGGAUGAUUCCAAGAUAUAUUCUUUUUCAAGGGUAAAUUAUCCAGAUGGACAUCCAACUUUUCAAAUGCUUUCAUUUUAGUUACCUCCAUUACGACAAUCUUCCAUUUUGCGUCUGACAACACGUAAGAAAACAUAAACACAAUAUUAUUCAAAGCUCCAUUUUAUUCAUUUUUUUCAAUAUUCAUCACAUGUUUCUUUCAAAAAUAAUAAAAUAAUAAAAUAUUCGUUGACAUGUUGAUUUUUCAUACAUGUAGCUUACUGCAGCAUGUAAGAAAACAAAGAAACAAUGGAAGCCCCAACCAAUGAUCCAAGAACAGGCAAGGUAGCGGCAGCCACGCUGGAAUCCGGUCCUGAUGCUGGAGCGGAACCAGGAGAGGAGCUAGGACUAGAACCACCGGCUGAAGGGGCAGGAGAUGGUGCACCGGCAGCCAUGACGGCGCUCAUUGAGGCGGCAGCAACAAUGAUGGCGGU
rnacentral:lncRNA from 1 species